rnacentral:rRNA from 1 species
CCUACGGGGGGCAGCAGUGAGGAAUAUUGGUCAAUGGACGAGAGUCUGAACCAGCCAAGUAGCGUGAAGGAUGACUGCCCUAUGGGUUGUAAACUUCUUUUAUAUGGGAAUAAAAUGUUCCACGUGUGGGAUUUUGUAUGUACCAUAUGAAUACGGAUCGGCUAACUCCGUGCCAGCAGCCGCGGUAAUACGGAGGAUCCGAGCGUUAUCCGGAUUUAUUGGGUUUAAAGGGAGCGUAGGUGGAUUGUUAAGUCAGUUGUGAAAGUUUGCGGCUCAACCGUAAAAUUGCAGUUGAAACUGGCAGUCUUGAGUACAGUAGAGGUGGGCGGAAGUCGUGGUGUAGCGGUGAAAUGCUUAGAGAUCACGAAGAACUCCGAUUGCGAAGGCAGUUCACUGGACUGCAACUGACACUGAGGCUCGAAAGUGUGGGUAUCAAACAGGAUUAGAUACCCUGGUAGUC